rnacentral:lncRNA from 1 species
UUAAACACUACAGGUCCUCACAGCACAUGCUGUUCUCAGGUGCUAUUCAAUGUGUAGAGACCCACAGCCAAGCCUGAGAUCAAUGUACCUCAUCCUGACUCCUUGUUCUUAUUAUUCCUCUGCUUAUUUAAGCAGUGUGGUCACCUACAGCACUGUGAGUCCUGCCUGUAGCUCCUGAUGACUGUUCAGCAUUCAUGGCAAAACACAGGCUUCAGCUGCUCAGGUGCACUGCCAGUCACUGUCCCAGCUCUCCUGAAGGGAACUCACAAGUGCAGCCUCGUGUUUUUCAAAGCAAUUGUCUUGUAUCACAGCCCAGUUCCUCAGGACAAAGAGGCAGAGAUGGACAGAUACCCUCUCGGGGAGGCAGCCUGGCUCUACCAGCCUCAAAGGGGCAGGCAGGCAGUUGGAACAGGCUUUUCACACUGGAAGUGCACUGACCUCAGAAAAAACGGGAUGUAGAAACAACCCUCAUGUGAAAAACAUUUAAUGGAGUAUUGCAUAAAACAGUCUGCCAUGAGACGACUUGAAAGACUUGUUUCAGUAAAGCUGUGUGGGAAACAAACAGAAAGCCAGUUAUUUUGUGUCCCAUGACAGAUUUUGCCUGUGUUUUGGUUGGGUUUUUUGUUUUGGUUUUUUUUUGUUUGUUUUGGUUGGUUGGUUUGGGUUUUUUUAUACAGGUUAGCGAGUCUAAAGG